GGCUGGUCCGAGUGCAGUGGUGUUUACAACUAAUUGAUCACAACCAGUUAGAGAUUUUCUUCUUCCUUCUCCAUUCCCACUCCUUCAGUUGACUAGCAUUAA
ensembl:Y_RNA Y_RNA Y RNA